rnacentral:rRNA from 1 species
AACGAACGCUGGCGGCAUGCCUAACACAUGCAAGUCGAACGAGAUCUUCGGGUCUAGUGGCGCACGGGUGCGUAACGCGUGGGAAUCUGCCCUUUGGUUCGGAAUAACAGUUGGAAACGACUGCUAAUACCGGAUGAUGACGAAAGUCCAAAGAUUUAUCGCCAGAGGAUGAGCCCGCGUAGGAUUAGCUAGUUGGUGUGGUAAAGGCGCACCAAGGCGACGAUCCUUAGCUGGUCUGAGAGGAUGAUCAGCCACACUGGGACUGGGACACGGCCCAGACUCCUACGGGAGGCAGCAGUGGGGAAUAUUGGACAAUGGGCGAAAGCCUGAUCCAGCAAUGCCGCGUGAGUGAUGAAGGCCUUAGGGUUGUAAAGCUCUUUCACCCGGGAUGAUAAUGACAGUGCCGGGAGAAUAAGCUCCGGCUAACUCCGUGCCAGCCGCCGCGGUAA